rnacentral:rRNA from 1 species
CGAAGGAUCCAAGCGUUAUCCGGAUUUAUUGGGUUUAAAGGGUGCGUAGGCGGGCUAUUAAGUCAGUGGUGAAAGCCCCAAGCUUAACUUGGGAAUUGCCAUUGAUACUGAUGGUCUUGAGUACACUUGAAGUGGGCGGAAUGUGUCAUGUAGCGGUGAAAUGCUUAGAUAUGACACACAACACCGAUUGCGAAGGCAGCUCACUAAAUUGUAACUGACGCUGAGGCACGAAAGCGUGGGGAUCAAACAGGAUUAGAUACCCUGGUAGUCCACGCCCUAAACGAUGAUUACUCGAUGUGUGCAAUACACCGUACGCGUCUGAGCGAAAGCAUUAAGUAAUCCACCUGGGGAGUACGACCGCAAGGUUG